CUUUAAGUAGUGUGAAGCAUUUAUUUUUUUCGUAAAUAAGGGUAYUUARAGU
rnacentral:tRNA from 1 species